ACUUUCAUUUCAUAAUCUAAAUAUGUUCAUCGUUUCCAUGUGUAGAUUGAGACAUUUAGUGGGAAAGGGCGGAGAGGGUGUUGCUUCUCUUGCUUGUGAUGCUUGUUUUAUGGGAAACGGCGUUGCUCCUCCAUUGACUACUCCGAAUUGCACGUUAGGGUUUCCUGCUUCGGAUUUGCUGAUUUGAGGAAGUUACUGGUCUUAAUUGGAAAGUUGUGCAAAUCUAAGUGACUACGGAUUAGCUCAUGACUUUAUCUUCAUGAAAAAGGUGAUGUGACAAUAGAUAUUGCAAUUUGUCUUCCCUUUUCACGUGUAGUUUAAAAGAUUAUAGAAAGUUAAACACUAUUGUCAGUCAAGGUGUCAUGGAUAAUCUUAUGGAUUAAAUGCAUAAAGCUCAUGCACAACAAAAUCUUCCAAGAUUUGUAGGCAUUGCAUAUGGAAGAUAGAGCUAUUUGCAUCUGAAGAACAAGCCAAACAAGGGUGUUGCUGAUCGAGAUCCCACCUUAGAACGACAAGUGUUUCAUAGGAACUGAAUCACUGAUUGUAAAUUGUAGGAUGCAACAUUCUAACAAAAAAGAAUUUUAAUUGUAUUGGAUAUCAUAUAGUUAUUUUAUGGUCUAUAAUUCGUAAGAUGUUUCUGCAUUGUGUGAUUAGUAAUUGUAAUGACAAAAAUUAGAAAGGACUUGAAUAGUUAGAAGUUGAAAAGGAGUCUCAUAGAAUAAAAAAUUUUCUCAAAAAGAUCGAUCACUUUUAAGUUAAUAUUGAUCUUUAAAAUGCUAAGCGAAUGCAAGUAUAUUCCAUUCAGUCAAGGUUGUAUAGGUCUAGAUCCUAAAUGAUAAGGGGGCAUAAGAUGGGAGUGUAGGUUUGUAAGCACCUACCCAGUUCAUUCAGUACGCCUGGUCAGCCAACCUAUUCAGUCCAUCCAUCUUAUUUAUCUUUAUUUAUACUUGAAAUGAUAAAGCAUAUUAUAUUUACCAGAGAUUGAAUAAUCAUUGCAUUUAUCAAACUAGAAUGAUAACAUCCACACGUUGAAAUAAAAUAAUUGCUGAAAUUACCCAUUCCAUUCCCACCUACCAAACUUGCCUAAGAGUUUAAGAUUGUAAGAGGUAGAUUCCCUGGAAAGAUCCAUUAUUUUGAAAGGUUACACAAUAUGUACGAAUUAGUGUUUUUCUGAAUUCUCUCCGUGACAAGUUCUUUAAUUUGCUCUUGGCA